rnacentral:rRNA from 1 species
AUUGAACGCUGGCGGCAGGCCUAACACAUGCAAGUCGAACGGUAACAGGAAGAAGCUUGCUUCUUUGCUGACGAGUGGCGGACGGGUGAGUAAUGUCUGGGAAACUGCCUGAUGGAGGGGGAUAACUACUGGAAACGGUAGCUAAUACCGCAUAAUGUCGCAAGACCAAAGAGGGGGACCUUCGGGCCUCUUGCCAUCGGAUGUGCCCAGAUGGGAUUAGCUAGUAGGUGGGGUAACGGCUCACCUAGGCGACGAUCCCUAGCUGGUCUGAGAGGAUGACCAGCCAUACUGGAACUGAGACACGGUCCAGACUCCUACGGGAGGCAGCAGUGGGGAAUAUUGCACAAUGGGCGCAAGCCUGAUGCAGCUAUGCCGCGUGUAUGAAGAAGGCCUUCGGGUUGUAAAGUACUUUCAGCGGGGAGGAAGGGAGUAAAGUUAAUACCUUUGCUCAUUGACGUUACCCGCAGAAGAAGCACCGGCUAACUCCGUG